rnacentral:rRNA from 1 species
GACGAACGCUGGCGGCGUGCUUAACACAUGCAAGUCGAACGGAAAGGCCCGCGUUUGUUGGGUGGUCGGGUGGCGAACGGGUGGGUAACACGUAAGUAACCUGCCCUUGACCUUGGGUUAACUUCAGGAAACUGGGGCUAAUACCGGAUAGGAGCUCCUGCUGCAUGGUGGGGGUUGGAAAGGUUCGGCGGUUGGGGAUGGACUCGGGGCUUAUCAGCUUGUUGGUGGGGUAGUGGCUUACCAAGGCUUUGACGGGUAGCCGGCCUGAGAGGGUGACCGGCCACAUUGGGACUGAGAUACGGCCCAGACUCCUACGGGAGGCAGCAGUGGGGAAUAUUGCACAAUGGGCGGAAGCCUGAUGCAGCAACGCCGCGUGCGGGAUGACGGCCUUCGGGUUGUAAACCGCUUUCGCCUGUGACGAAGCGUGAGUGACGGUAAUGGGUAAAGAAGCACCGGCUAACUACGUG